rnacentral:rRNA from 1 species
UACAGAGGAUGCAAGCGUUAUCCGGAAUGAUUGGGCGUAAGCGUCUGUAGGUGGCUUUUUAAGUCCGCCGUCAAAUCCCAGGGCUCAACUCUGGACAGGCGGUGGAACUACCAAGCUUGAGUACGGUAGGGGCAGAGGGAAUUUCCGGUGGAGCGGUGAAAUGCGUAGAGAUCGGAAAGAACACCAACGGCGAAAGCACUCUGCUGGGCCGACACUGACACUGAGAGACGAAAGCUAGGGGAGCGAAUGGG